rnacentral:rRNA from 1 species
CAAGAAGACCCUAUGAAUUUUUUAUUUAUUUAAAUAUAAAUAAAAUUUUUAAAUAAAUUUGAUUGGGGCGAUGUAAAAAGAAUAAAUAUCUUUUUUUAUAAAAUUAAAUUAGUUCCGUUUAUAGCGAUUUUUUGAAAAAAAUACUCUAGGGAUAACAGCGUAAUAAUUUUGGAUAGUUCAUAUAGAUAAAAUAGUUUGCGACCUCGAUGUUGGAUUAGGAUACUUUUUUGAUGAAGAAGUUGAAAAAAGAAGUUUGUUCAACUUUUAAACUCCUACUUGAUCUGAGU